AUCGAACGCUGGCGGCAUGCCUAACACAUGCAAGUCGAACGAGUGGCGGACGGGUGAGUAAUGUCUGGGAAACUGCCCGAUGGAGGGGGUUAACUACUGGAAACGGUAGCUAAUACCGCAUACCAUCGGAUGUGCCCAGAUGGGAUUAGCUAGUAGGUGGGGUAACGGCUCACCUAGGCGGCGAGCCCUAGCUGGUCUGGGAGGAUGACAGGCCGCACUGGAACGGAGACGCGGUCAAGACGCCUACGGGAGGCAGCAGAGGGUAAUAGUGGGCAAUGGGGGGAAGCCUGAUGCAGCGGUGCAGAGUGUAAGAAGAAGGCGUUCGGGUUGGAAAGUACUUUCAGCGAGGAGGCGUUACUCGCAGAAGAAGCACCGGCUAACUCCGUGCCAGCAGCCGCGGUAAUAC
rnacentral:rRNA from 1 species